ACGUCCAGGCUCCUCCCGGCUGCCUGAGUUGCGCAAUCCGUAGCCGGGGAAGCGCUACGUGGAGACCGCGCUAAGUGGAAGCCGAGCUCUGGAGCUGGGGAACAGGAGGGCGGACCUUGAAUAGAUGCUGGACAUUCCUCAUCAGAAACCUGAGGAGGAUACUAAAAAGACAGCCACAAUUUUCCUUCUGCUUGCUGCCAAAGUCCUUGAGACCAGCUGUUGGGUUCUACCCCACCCUCAGUAGCAGCUCCAAAUCUCCACCGGCCAACUCAUCCCCCACCUGUCACUUUGGAUCCCACCUCAAAGACAAGGCUCAUCAGCAUGAACUCAGUCCCCACCUACAUCUUCCACCUAUGGAUGCACAUGGAGACACGUUCCUCUCCUCUUCUCUGCCUAGGAGGAAGGAGUCCCUGUCUGCAAAGCUCACUGCUCUCCUGUGGCCUGACACCCAGUAUGAAUCUGCUUGCCAGUUACCCUGUUGCUAUCAUGGUUCCUUCCCUCGGUAUAAUAAACAUGUCCAAUUCGCUCGUAUUCCAAGAAAACCUCUUCCCUCAAGCCUGCCUCUGGACCCAUCUUCCCCACCCUUGGGGCUUGCUUUCACCACCACACAUCUUAACAGUCUACCCACUUGUCAAAGCCACACAUCUCCACCGCCGUCACCUCCGGUUCUGGCUUCUGCGUCUCCUACCCCGUGGCUGGUGGCCACUGAUGCCAAAUGUUCAGACCCAGUGGAUCUACCCAUCCAUUUCCUAUUCACAUCUGAGCAAGACGGCAGGAGGAUGGCCGAAGUGACCUCUAGAGGGGGGACUGCCAGUUCAGUCUUCUGAUGUUUUUUUCAGAGAGCCGAGACUUUCAGACAAAGACAUUUUUCAUCUACCAGGCUGCAUAUUUUUACUUAGAUAUUUAAAAAAGCAAUCUCAAGCUUUCCGAAAGAAAAUGUAACAUAGAUGCCAAAUCAGAUGAGAACUAACACUUGGUAUCAACAGGAAUAUAUUUGAAUUUAAAAAGGCUAGCUGCAUCUGACAGCAGUGUGUCUCAGCUAAAGUCUAAGCUGGAGUGGGGGGGCGGGGAAGAGAAGAUUCUUCAAUAAAUAAAUGUUUAUUGAGACAGGGGCAGGUGAUAAGUAGAGUGACUCUAUCAUGUGACGCAUAGAGAGUCAAGGAAGGCUUCACAUCAGAAGUUACAGUUGGGCUGGGUCUUAUAGGGCAGGUAAUUUCUGGUAAAUCCGAGUUCACUGAAGGCAGAGGGAACGGCAUGUGCAGAGAGCAGGAUGUUUGGAAAAGAACUGACAUUUUCGGGGAAUAAUGAGCAUGAUACUUUGAAGCGUCUUACGGUCUCUAGGAUCGAGUGCUGUCCUCUGUAUCACAGCCCUGGGAGGGCUGCAAUUGUAAUUUUUGUUAAACUCAGGGCUGAAGACCCUCCAAAUGUGUGUGAGGAACCAAUUUCUUGCGUCCUUUCCUAAAUCCAAUGUGAGCUUUCAGAUGGACAGAGGAAAGGUGUUCACAAUCAAGGCCAUCUUUCCCCAGGGUCAGGAUCAACAGAGGUGGCUAAUGGCCCAGCAAGCCCCAGCACCUCCUGCAGCACAUCUUCCCCACGUUGCACCUCCGGCCUCACUAUUCACGAACUGUCAGAAGAAAGGGGCUGCGUGUAUCGUUCGUUGUCACACAGUGACCUCCACCAAAUAUUUGCUCGAAAAUAUUGGUUAAGUGCAGGGGUUAACAGGACCUGCAUCUUGUGCUUUGCAAAGGAUGGAAGGUUUCUGACCACUCCCCACCCCCACCCCCACCUGUUUCCGAAGGAACACUUCUAUGAAGUUCCUGAUUAUGGUAGAGAUUGUCAGCUCAGGUGGCCUUCCUGGGCACACAGGUAGACAAGACCACACACUUAACCCCUUUCUUGCGAUUAAAUGGGGCCACGUGACCAGGGAAGUGAGAAGUGAUCGGUGCUACUUCCUGGAGGAGGCAUUUGAGGAAGUUUAUCAGCCAAAGAUCUCAACAAUGAUCCUAGGAUUCGUGUAUUGAAAGGAUAGCAUCAUCAGAAGAGUGUGGAUUCCUGAGUCACCAGAAGGAAGCAUACCUCACACUGACCCUCAUGAGAACAUGUGGAAGAAUUACAUCUCUAUGGUUCCAAGGAGUUGCCCUGUUGCAGUCCUUACCAUGAUUAAUGUAUCAGUAUAUUCCACUUACUUUCCAUAAAACAAAGUGGGAGUAUGGCUUAGACAUCAACUCAAUAUAGACACUGUUAUUUGAUGGAGGCCACAAGAGAACAGCUGUCAAUGGACAAGUUCUACGUCACUUUCUCUCCUUUAGAAAAACACAAAGAAACUUCUCAGCUUGCAGUUUUGGAAAAGGUUGAGUAUCUCUUGAGCAUUUGAAAGUAAAUGUGAAUGUGAAUGUGA